GGGCUGGUCACCAGAAAGACCAAGGUAUUAAAGGAGUAGAUUUGGAAUUUUCAGCCUCACCCACCAACUUCCAGGAAAAGUAGUGGUGUUUGAAGGUUAAGCUUUAUAAAAACUCCUUUUUGGCCAGGCACGGUGGCUCACACCUGUAAUCCCAGCACUUUGGAGGCUGAGGCGGUUGAAUCACGAGGUCAGUAGUUUGAGACCAGCCUGGCCAACAUAGUGAAACCCCUGUCUCUACUAAAAAUACAAAAAUUAGCUGGGCGUGGUGGUGCACCCUGUAGUCCCAGCUACUCGGGAGGCUGAGGCAGGAGAAUCACUUGAACCCAAGAGGCAGAGGUUGCGAUGAGCGAGAUCAGGCCACUGCACUCCAGCCUGGGCAACAGAGUGCAACUGCCUCUCAAAAGAAGAAAAAAAAAAAGAACUGAUGGGCUGGCAGGGUACUGACACUUGGAGGUGCUGGGAGGGUGGUUCCCAGAUGGGCCCUGGAAGCGCCAAGUCUCUUCCUCCCCAAAGCUCACUCUAUGCAUCUUUUAAAUCUAGCUAUUCAUCUAUAUCUUUUAUAAUGUCCUUUAUAAUUAAGUGAUAAAUGUGUUUCCCUGAGUUCUGUUAGCAAUCCUAGCAAAUUAUGAAGCCAAGGAGGGGGUUGUGGGAACCCUGAUUUAUAGCGGGUUUGUCAGAAGCACAGAUCACAGCCUUGGUCUUGGAAUUAGCAUCUAAAGUGGGGGGCAGUCUUUUGGGACUCAGCCCUCCACCUGUGGAAUCUGAUACCAUCUCCAGGUAGCUAGUGUCUGAACUGAAUCGAAUAGGACACUCAGUGUUUGCUGGAUAACUGCUUGGUGUAUGGGGGAAAAGUCCCACACAUCUGGUCACAAGUGUUUUGUGUUGUGUGAGCAGACAGGGAGGGUCUUCAGGGAUUAUAGAAAUUUAAUCAUCCUGAGCAAUUGGCUUGUUUUACAACCUCCUGCCCUGCAGCCUCUUUUUUCCUAAACCCUGUGUUGAAUGCAGUCACCUGGUUGGUUAAAACUGGCUCCUGGCAGACCCCAGCAACUUGUAGAUAAACCCGAGUGAAAGUUCCUCAUUACCAUGCUGAAGUCUCCAUCCCGGGAGGAGCUGCGGCUUCAUUCUCAUAGCGUGUGACCUGUGUGCAGGCGUGAUGAUUCACUGUGUUUCCACAACUGGCACCCGUCCUCUACAUGCAAUGAGGCACCCUCUCCCCUCCCCAUCGCCCCCUAAAAUCCUCCUGUCACUUCUUUCCGGGGGACACUGCUUUGGAGAAUCCUACCAGUGCUAUUCUUACUUGUGAUGAGUAAUUGAACUCCUAUUAAUUAAAACCUGCCUUGUGGAGAGUCAUUUGUUAUUUGCCAGGCAAACAAACCCCAGUUUUUUUCAGGUAACAAGAGUAUGGUGGAAGAAAACAGUUUAUGUCAGGCACCGUGGUGCAUGCCUGUAAUCCCAGCACUUUGGGAGGCUGAGGCAGGUGGGAGGAACACUUGAGCCCAGGUGUUGGAGACCAGCCUGGACAACAUAGUGAGACACCCCUAACUCCACCCCCUUAAAAAAAAAA
ensembl:lncRNA